rnacentral:rRNA from 1 species
UGGGGAAUAUUGCACAAUGGGCGCAAGCCUGAUGCAGCCAUGCCGCGUGUGUGAAGAAGGCCUUCGGGUUGUAAAGCACUUUCAGCGGGGAGGAAGGCGGUGAGGUUAAUAACCUCACCGAUUGACGUUACCCGCAGAAGAAGCACCGGCUAACUCCGUGCCAGCAGCCGCGGUAAUACGGAGGGCGCAAGCGUUAAUCGGAAUUACUGGGCGUAACGCGCACGCAGGCGGUCUGUCAAGUCGGAUGUGAAAUCCCCGGGCUCAACCUGGGAACUGCAUUCGAAACUGGCAGGCUAGAGUCUUGUAGAGGGGGGUAGAAUUCCAGGUGUAGCGGUGAAAUGCGUAGAGAUCUGGAGGAAUACCGGUGGCGAAGGCGGCCCCCUGGACAAAGACUGACACUCAGGUGCGAAAGCGUGGGGAGCAAACAGG